AUAUUAAUAAUAAUAAAAAAAAAAACACAAUAGCAAUAUUUCUGUACCAGAGAAACCAGAAACUCAUUCAUCGUCCUCACGCAAAACGGCUCUCACUCUCGACAUCCUUUAAACUCUCAAUCUCUCGUUAACUCUCAAUCGGCUUCCACUAACCUCACGAUACACCACUCCCAAUCUCACUCUAAACGCGAAAACCAAUGGUUUCGAAAGAAGAUCCAGUAAGAAAACUCACCUUUGGCGAUGAUUUGGCGGCGGUGGUGAGCUUGUAUCUUCUUCUCCUCGCUAGGUUCUUUCACGCCGUCACCAAAAUCAGGGUUUCAGAUUGGCCUCUGGAGAUCAAAAAAGGGGUCUCUGCGAAAUCCUUUCGGUAUGCUCAGUUUGGAUUGCCCUACUUGAUGUUAAAUCGGAAACGGUAAUAUGAAUUUAGCUUUCUUCCUCUAAUUUUGUCUUAAUUCUCUUUUGGGUUAUUUUUUUAACUUUACAGCCUUUGCUAAUUACUUGGUUUUACUGUAGUAAAAAUUUGUGAAAAGAAACACUUCGGUUAUUUGCAAAGCUCAACUAUUGCUACUGCCAUGAACUUCUAGGUGUGAAGAAGUGCUAGCUAUCAAGAAUGAAAAUCAGUUCCAUUAUAAGCUAAUGUUAAUCUUAAGUCUCAUUAUAUUGUCUUACUUAACUGUUAGUGCAGAAUUUCUUAUUAAUUGGAAAUUUUGUUCAACUAUGAGGAAUUAUUCUUACUGUUAUGCUUAUUAAUCUCUGCAAGUUAGUAGGUGUUGCCGGUUGAAUGUGUUGUUGCUAAUGUGUUUGCUGUUGGCUUCGAGAAACGGCGGCUGCGUUUGAAAUUAUGUCGCUUAAAUACAGGUUUUGUGGGUUAGUUAGAGGUGUUAGAAAUAUGGUGGAGAAUUCCAUUAAAAAAAGAGGGGUUCUGUUUUUUGAACUGAGCUUCUAAAAGAUUCUAAUGUUAUAUUAACAGUUAGUAAAUAAAUUGCUGUUAUUCGUGAUCGUUAUUAUCAUACUGAAAGAGAUUAAUCUUCUGUUAUCAUGUUGAUUUUCCUGAUUGCAUUGUAAUGUUUACAAGGAGUUUGUUGUGAAACUGAUAUGAGCCAUUGCCACCAGGUUGUUCUGCUAUGAACCUUGUAGGGAAUGUUGGCUUUAAUGUUACAGUAACAAGUCUACAUCCAAUCACGGUUGACACGGAUAAGAUAUACUCUGCGGUAAGCGGCACGAAUUGGUGCGAGCUCCAAAACCUGGUGCUACAAGGCUUCACUUGGUCUAUGCUUCUGUUUCGGCACGAUGAUGCAACAUGUUCGGUUACAUCAUAAUGCUUGUUCAGGAUCUUUCCAUCAAGAUCAAGAGAGAACAAACCCGAAUGACAAAUCUUGAAUCUCUUCAUUGGCAACGGUAACCGUGUUGUCGGGACAGAAGUUGUUAUUUGGACUUGAUAAUGAUGUGAUGAGGUCCUUGGAAGAUGCAGGUCCUCGGGACAGAAUCUCUUCAUUCGCGCUGUUGUGUUUGUAAGAUGCAGGUCUUGGAAGUACUGCAUUUGAGGUUAUGGCUGGGACAAGGUUUUAGCUAAAGUUCUGAUGAAGGUGAUAUUCCUACUGAUGGAACUAGUGUUAGCAAUGACUUAUACGCUUUUUUGCAGGCAUUUUUAAGGAACACCCUCAAUUGGUUAAGAAUGACUUUUAUAUUACCAGAGAAUCAAAUGUUGGACACUAUAUUCCAGCUCUCGCAUCCCGGGUUCACACAGGAGACAAAAACAAAGAAGGAAUUAUUAUAAACUUCAAGGUCUUACAAUAUCCUAAUGUUGCAUUUGACAGUGAUUUUUUCCCAAAUGAAAGAUCUUAAUGCAACCUUUAAUAUAUGUCGUAUUUUUGUAUGUUUUGGUUCUUUUGAUUUCAUUAAAAUUACAGGGUUUUGCCAUUGGUUUAUGGAGUAUUUGGAAUUGGUUGAAGUGAUUGUAAAGAAUAAGAAUGGUUGUAACUUUGGAAUUGGAAAUUGUAUAUUUGGUUAUAAAAAAUGGAUAUGGAUUUUAGAAAUAA